UGAGCCCAGACAUUUCCGCGCCCA
rnacentral:siRNA from 1 species